GCUCAAAUAAUCCUCUAUUUCUUUCCAUGGGCAUUACUUCAUCAAGACCAUGAAUACGAGCAAUGCCAUCACCUACUUGAGUGUGUCAAAAUUCAAAGCUUGGUGAUGAUGUUUCACAUUUUAUCUGCUGCUAUUGUUCAAAAGAUUGCAAUCAAACCCCACUGGAUCCAUACUCAUCUCAGGUUCAUCUAAAAAGGUGUCAAGUAAUGACUAGCUAAAAUGUUGGAUUUAUCUGGAGAAACACUACAAUGAUUUGUUCAUUGUCACUUUUGAGUUUGAUGCUUGAACAAGUUAAAAUAAUCUACGAAACUGGAAUUAUCAAUUUAAAAGUGAAGCCUUCAGUUAAAUAUGUAGCAAUUACCGGAACAGUGGAAAGUAAAAGUAAGGCAUGUUUGGUUCGUGAAAUUCUAUGGAAUUUUUAUUAGAUUUGGAAUUAAGUCCGUCUAAAAUUGUGUUUGGUUGA
rnacentral:lncRNA from 1 species